CUAGUCUCCCUCUGGUGCCGGAUCUUCUACACGGAGCUGCUGGCUGUGGAGGGCUGUCGGGCGCCAUCUUGUGAUUGGCGGAACGAAAAGGACUGAGCUGGUCGCAAUGGCUGAGUAAGUCUGGAGCUACUCAGAAACUGCGAGGUACCGUAAUUUCGGGCUAAGAUUGGUCCAGCAAUCUUACAAACUUGUCCGAUAAGAGGAACAAGAUGGCGGGAGCCUCAUGACUCAUGAAGAAUCAUCCUUCAGCACUCAGGAGAGGAAAAACCACCUUGUGGAGGAAACCUCUGGGGACCCAUGGCUGAAGGACUGCCUGUCCCUCUAGGCAUUAAGAGACUAUGCAGAGUUUGCCCAGACCACCCGCCCACCCACUAACCUUGCCUAACCCAGUCAUCCCUUCUGUCGCCUCAAAUCUGCUAUUUUGACAUAUUUACCCAGCCGGAGAAAAACGCAUCUACACGUCAAUGGUGAGAGAGUGAAGAAAGAGAGCAAGAGAUGAAU